GCGCAGCAGGCGCGAAACUUCGCAAUGCGCGAAAGCGCGACGAGGGGAUUCCAAGUGCAUGCACUAAGUGUAUGCUUUUCGUGAAGUUUAAAACGCUCACGGAAUAAGGGCUGGGUAAGACUGGUGCCAGCCGCCGCGGUAAUACCAGCGGCCCUAGUGGUGAUCGUUAUUAUUGGGCCUAAAGCGUCCGUAGCCGGUCCGGUAAAUCUCUGGGUAAAUCGUUGGGCUUAACUCAGCGAAUUCUGGGGAGACUGCUGGACUUGGGGACCGGGAGAGGUCGGAGGUACUCCGAGGGGUAGGGGUGAAAUCCUGUAAUCCGUUGGGGACCACCGGUGGCGAAGGCGUCCGACCAGAACGGGUCCGACGGUAAGGGACGAAGCCCGUGGGGCGCGAACCGGAUUAGACUACCCCCGUAGU
rnacentral:rRNA from 1 species